rnacentral:rRNA from 1 species
UACGAAGGGGGCUAGCGUUGCUCGGAAUUACUGGGCGUAAAGCGCACGUAGGCGGCUUCUUAAGUCGGUGGUGAAAUCCUGGAGCUCAACUCCAGAACUGCCUUCGAUACUGGGAAGCUCGAGUCCGGGAGAGGUGAGUGGAACUGCGAGUGUAGAGGUGAAAUUCGUAGAUAUUCGCAAGAACACCAGUGGCGAAGGCGGCUCACUGGCCCGGUACUGACGCUGAGGUGCGAAAGCUAGGGGAGCAAACAGG